rnacentral:rRNA from 1 species
CUCGGAUCAGGUAGGAAUACCCGCUGAACUUAAGCAUAUCAAUAAGCCGGAGGA